ensembl:lncRNA
CCCAUCAGGCUCUUCUGUCCAUGGAAUUCUACAGGCAAGAAUAUUGGAGUGGGUUGCCAUGCCCUUCUCUAGGGGAUCUUCCCAAGUCAGGGAUCGAACCCAGGUCUCCAGCACUGCAGGCAGAUUCUUUACUGUCUGAGCCACUAGAGAAGCCGUUUGCCUGGAAAUAAAUCUUCAACGGGAGAGGAGUUGCAAUGAUUAAUCAACACUGGAAAGUAUGUUCAAAUCCAGUAGUACUCAGCAGAGUGCAGAUCAACAACAUGAUGGAUUUCUGUUCCACAACAUCCAGAUUGGCAAAGCGUUUAAGCUGUUAAAUAUAUCAAAUGUUUGUGAAACUGUGGAACCCUAGAGCUCACAGACAUUGCUAAUUGGAGUGUCAAUGGUACAAGCAAAGUGGGAAAUAUUUGGCAUAACAUGUGUCUAAUGAGAUUAAAGGCUUGAUGGAUCACUGUGCUUUAAUGAUAAAUAAUAAUAAAGUCCAGGGAUGUGACAAGCCCUGUGUUAUACUUCACUCAUGGAGACACCUUUGCUUUAUUCUUCCUUUCCCUCCCGCUCAACGUAAAGGCCAAAUCAGUAAAAGGUCAAGCUGACUGUGCUGAGUCCAAGGAAUUGAGCAUUAAUGAAGUACAUUUAUCAAGGAACAAGUUGGUAAGGAAAGGAGAUGAGGAGACCUCCCUCUGCAGCUGAACUCUAAGGCCACGUGCUUCUCCCAGGUCCUGGUUGGUGGACUCUCCUGUGUGUAUGUGAGAGUGGGUAUGUGUGUGGGAGCUGUCUAUGUGGGCAUGAGUGUGCUGUGAGUUUGAUGUCUUCUUGUUUUGCACUUGAAAGGAGGGGUAUAGUGGGAGAAAAAUUUGUGUGUUUUUUUCUGAAUUGUGUAAAGAGUGCAACUCUGAGAUUUUCACUCAGAAAAACCUGAUGAGAUGAGGUAGCAUGUGUUAUUCCAGCAGGUAGACUUUAUGUUCCAUAUUCUAGAAGUGGCUACCCUUCCUCCAUCCCCCCAGUAAGUGGUGACCAUUAGAAAGAUAUCAGAGGAAACUGUCAAUCACAGUUUUGCCAGCGGUCUAUUCUGAUCCUCUUUAGACAGCUGUGAUAUCAGAUAUCAGAUAUCAGAUCAGCCUUGUCUAGGCAUUUCUAGUAACCAGCUAAGAUGCUAUCUGAGAUUUUUAAAAAUUUUUCUGCAGUUGUAAGUGACACACAUAAAUAAAAUAAGUAAAAACACAAAUCCCAUAUUCAGUUAGCCAUUGCACUGUAGACAGAAAGCUAAGUUAGUGUGCGAUACUUCCUCUCCUGCAAUAGGCUAUAUAGAUGCUCAUUUACAGUUGAACACAAUUAAGUGCCAAUACAAUUUUCUCCAAUGAGAUAGAUAUUCUAUAAAAUGUCCAUUAGAGCAUGUCAGUAUUUUAAUCAGUUGAGCGCAGAGCAGUUACAAAGACACUAUUUGAGAAUGAUAAUUUUUUUUUCAUUUAACAAUGUAAAGCAUUGAUUGGUUUUAAUAGAUUUUUGUGUUUAAAAAAACUAUUGAUGUUUCACAGGGAACAACAAAAGUCUGUAAAGCAAUUAUCCUUCAAUUAAAAAAUAAAUUAAUCUAAAAAAAUGAAAAAAUAGAAAAUAAAAAAGCUGUGCCUAAAUGACAAAGUCUGCCAUGUCUCUCCAGCUGGUCAAGGCCAUUAGUGUGGACACUCACCCCCUCCAUAUAUGGUUUGGAUUUUAAAACCUAAGUUUGUACAUUAUACUUGGGAAGACAAUCUGAGAAAAAACCUGGAUACUGGAAAAAGAUAAAUUCUGAGAUAAGAUCAAGAAAAAACCAGAAACAACUAAGGUAAAUUCUACUGUGUGUUAAGUGUAAAGUCCAUCAAGUUAUUAGGGAGCUAUUUUGGUGGUGUUUUCAUUUAUAUGGAUUCCUCCUUCCAUCCUUACCACUGACAAAAGAAUAAAAUGAGGAGUAUUUAAAAACAUCUCGUAUAUUCGUUACUUGUUAUAUUUGUAGGUAUAUUCUUAUACAUGCAAAUAUAUGAGAUGCUUUCAAAUGCUCCUUAUUUAUUUGCAGGGCAUAAAUAGAGGCGCAAACAUGGAGAACAAAUUUUGGACACAGUGGAAGGAGGGGAGGGUGGGACACGUUGAGAGAGAGAGGCACUGACGUAUCUCCACCACCACGCGUGAAAUGGAGAGCCAGCGGGGAGCCGCUCUAGCACACGGGGAGCUCAACUCAGUGCUCUGCGAUGG